UACGAAGGGUGCAAACGUUGCUCGGAAUUAUUGGGCGUAAAGCGCACGUAGGCGGCUCUGCAAGUCGGAUGUGAAAUCCCUCGGCUCAACCAAGGAAGUGCAUCCGAAACUGCGGAGCUUGAGUACUUAAGAGGAUCGCGGAAUUCCCGGUGUAGAGGUGAAAUUCGUAGAUAUCGGGAGGAACACCAGUGGCGAAGGCGGCGAUCUGGGAAGAUACUGACGCUGAGGUGCGAAAGCGUGGGGAGCGAACAGG
rnacentral:rRNA from 1 species